UUUCUCUGUAGCUAUCCCUUAGCAUAACAGAUACAGAAAAAGAGUGAGGAGAUCGGCAGAACUUUAAGAGAGCAGCAACAGCAGGGUCAUGACAGUGCUGGUGAGGCAAAAGCAACUUUAUCCUGAUAUUUAAGCUGGGAUGCUUCCCUGCAUCUCUUGGCUGCAGGUUUCAAAUCCACUUAAGGGACUUGAAGACUCAGCUCCCAUGAAUUUUCAAUGGAAAGGGACCACCUAAGUCCUCUAGGCAGCUGAGGAGUUAUAGCAACUGAAAAGCCGAGGCAUGGGCUACAGGUCUUCUGAGGAUAACAUCCAUCCUGAGAUUUGUGGCAUCUUGGGUGAAGCUGGAAAUUGUAAGAUACAGAGCCAAGCAUCCUUCUAGACAGGAAUGCAAAGGCUAAAAAGGUUUCAGCGGGUAACAAGGAUUUACCAUCCCUGUCAACCUCAGCUUCCUUCUGAGACCUGAGCAUACAACAUUGCUCAUCUCUAGGCAAACUGCUUCAGACAAAGAGGAAAUUCCAAGCCCAGGUUUGUUCUGCAGAGAGGAGAUAAAAAGUCAUCUGUUAGAGUGCCAGAUGCCUGUUUCUCGCUUAAACUGUAAAUGUCUGCACAUCAAAAUCCCCUUGGUACAUCCCAGCAUCAGGCUGACAGGGACCAAAUCAGGGCUAAGCACAGGUGGCUCCAGCUGGUAAAGUCACAGAAUGACUGAAACCACAGGAGGAUGGAAGGAAGAGUGGGCUUGGCAGGGUCAGUUUAUCAAGUCCUUCCCUCUAUUUCUGUUUAUUUUAAUUUUGACUUUAAUUUUAACUUUUCUCUGUUUACAGAGCAACAGAUCGUAUUCUUUAUUUCAAUGUGGGGUUAUUUGGGGUUUUCCAUUUGGUUUUUAAACCCUGUCUUUUUUAAUUUAAAGCUUUUUGCUCUGCUUUGUGGAACUUGUAAAACGAACAUCUCAUCCGGCUCUGAUCAAGUCACGGCCGUAGGAAGCUUUGAUCAUGCUGCCAUCACUAUCUAGCAAGCUGCACCCAUUUCAUGCUCUGGGGCUGUGCUGUCUGUCUCUGCUGAAGAAGCAGAGUUUGUCAGCUCAAGUGCAGCUCCAGCUGCCACAGCUGGACUGCCCAGUGGCAGUGACAGGUCCCAUCUGACAGGUGGGUGCUGCUGCAGGCUCUCCCAGGGUGCCUCAUCUCCAGGGACUGACAGGACCCAUCCCUCCCCAGGGACUGCACAGUGUGCACAGACAUCUGACCUCAGCACUUAAAUGCCAUCAAGGGGUAAAUGCUCCAUUUAAACAUUCAUGCCCCAGGUAAAGCUUAAGCUUUCAGCUGAAGGCUUCUGCUAAGCACCAAUUCCCCUUGGAAAAGCUGUCCCUGCAUCACCAUAACUAAGUUCUCAGUCAGGACCCAAAACCUUAUGAUAAAACAACUCCUUGGUCUUUAAAUUACUUUCCCAAGGUUUUAUGUGUUUUUUUUGAAGUCACAAUCAUUUGCCACAGACACAGAAGCUAGCAACAGAUCUUCUUUAUUUCAAAUAAAAUGGGAGAUCAUUCAAAAUCAUGAGUGCAAGCAGUAAAGUUUGAAAAUACAGCAAUACAAUACAGCAAGCAUCAAAAGAACAGGCAUUAUUCAAAACUAAAAAUGCUAAAACACAUACCCAAUAGGAGUAAAUUUCACCCCAGUGUCUUUAAGACCUGUUUUCCAUAUUAUUUCCCAUUUUCAGGGACAAUCUCAGAGCUAAGAGUCCUAAGCAGAAAGUUCCUUAUGCUCUUUUAUCUUAUAAUAUUCUUAAUGUUUCUGGGUCCUAAACACUGGAAUCUGUCAUAUAUAACCUAUGCCGUGUUCUUUAUUUGUUUGGAUUUUUUUUAACACACAGCCCAAUUUCUGUUUCCUGACAGCUCCUACUCCCCUUAAGUUUCAGGGGAUUUUUCCCUGGGUGAUCUGAAGGUAGGAAUUCUGUUCUCAGGCAGCCAUGUGAGUGUUAUUCCCAGUUUAAUAGUGGGAAUAAGCUUUUCCUUCUUCUCCAAGACUAACUUCCACCUCUGUGUGAAGCAUAAAACCCUGACUGGCAGAAGACUAGGUCUCAUCAGACUCCCUUCAGAGUCCUACUGAGCAAAUUCACUCUUUUCCUGAGAUGAGUCCUUUUUCUGCUUUAGUAGGCAGAAUAAACAGAUUUCUUUGUGAAGUUCCAUGCCAGUUUGAGGAGGACCUUUGCACCACUGAGGGUCACUUGAGGCUUGUGUUGACCUGAGUUCUCUCUCCUGUUCCUGGCCAGGGAAAGCAUCUUCUGCCCAAAAGAGCUUCCUUGGGCUUGCUUUGAGCAACAAGCAACAGAGAUGAACAUCAGCUCAAGCAUGACCAGUUUUGGCAGCUAAUGUUAACUUGCAAUGACACCUGCAGAGAUAAGGGAAUUCAGAGUUGGAUAUUAGGACCUAUUCAAAGACAUUUAAUUAGUCCAACAAUGGUUGGGCUUUGCAAAGUGUUUCUUUUUGCUUUGUGCCUGUUAGAAACCCUCAAUCAUUCAUAGCAUUAUAAUUUAUGGUUACGAUUUUGUGUCCUGGUGAAUAAUUAAAGCUGCAUGAGCUGUGAAACUUUUAUUACUAAGUUAACUCUUCGGGUUUUUUUCCAUGGCAGCUCUUUGAAAUGCAAGCCACUGUUGCUGUUAGUGGUGACUCACCAUCCUAGCCAGUGUUUUUUGAUGUUUAAAAAAAAAAGAAAAAUCAAUUAUUAAAUGGAACACUUUUCUCUUCAAAAGCCAUUCCUUUUAACUCUUUCCUCUGCAAAGCAAGCACAAAGCUAUUUAUGGACAAGAAUUACAUUCCCUGAAUCUGCUGAUAUAGUUAAGCACCUAGGCUUAACAAAUCUGAGCACAGGAACACCCACACUGAGACUCAGUUAAAAUUUGUACUAGGAAGCCCUCUCAGCUGAUGAAAUUUUUUUCAAGCCAGUGAAAAUGCCUGACCCUUCUAAGACUGAAACAAAAAAAGCCAUAGAUGUGGUGCUUGUAAGUUUUCAUACUCACUUUAGCAUAUCUCUUUCUGAAGUGUUGGCUGCCACAGAAACAAGAGGAUUUGAUGCUAAAGCAUGAGAAGACAUUUAGUAUUCCUACACUAGUGUGACACCUCUUGUUAUAGAGCAUUUUCCAGGGUGUGCCACUUGUAUAAUGUGCUAAAUACCUGGUGUAGCAUGGCAUGCAUGACAAUAGUGAGACCUCACACAGACAGGAAAAGAGUGACAGAUCAUUUUUUAAAAUCCUCUAAACUAAAAAUCCUAUGAGCAGCUUUCUUUCUCUCAUCCCUCUUCAGCUUAGUGUAUUUGUCAUUAAAGCUUUAAUUGCAUCUUUUCAGCAUGUGAUCCUCUUCUCUACCCUCUGCUUUAGGGUUCUUUCUUGGAUUAAGCAGAAUUUCUGAUGCACAUGUUUGUUAUGAGAUACAUACAGGGCUGAACUGCACCAUGCAAGAAGCAACUAAAAUCCAUAACAGAAGAUUGGAUAGCUGUAAGGACUAGAAAAUGGUAAUUUCUUCUCUGGAGUAGUUAUUUGAGUCAAAGUCAGAGAAAGCUGACAGUAGAAAAAUUAUAGGCUGAUACCAGAAUUGAUGGUGGCUCCACUUGUUUCAGUGGAUUUGUGCCAGCUUACACUCCGCAGAAGUCUGGCUCCCUUGGCUUCAGUGGUGUCACACCAGGUGCCAGACUGAGGCACACACCAACACUUAGCUCCUCUCUUCCUGGGAGGGAGUAGGAUGUCUGAGGAUGUCCAGUGGGCAUCCCUGCCAGUGCUUUCCUCUGCCAGUGUCAACCAAACUAGAGCACAGCAUGUCACACAUCCCACACCAUAAGAAUUCACAGAGGGACAUCAUGACCAGGGGCCAGCUGUCAUGCACUUACAUCUUGAAAUCUCUGAAGUUUCUGAGUCCAUUUGAGCCUAAAUAGAGUUCAAGUUUUCCCCCUGCCUGGCCCAAGAUGAGGAAUUAACGAGACACUGAGGUCUCUGUGCCACCAAACCUCUCAUUGGACUUUCUUUAUGGGAUCUGUCUGCCCAGAGGCUCCAAAGGACCAAAGUUUCCACUCCAUGAAUGCUGGUGGGAUUUUAUUUUUAUAAGGAAGCAGCCAAGCAUGUAAACCAGUGAUGAGCUUUAUGUGCAGUACAACAGGAAAAAAAAGUAACUGCUUUUUUAUCAUGCUAAUCCUUAUCCAUUUUAUAUCUUUGCUCAAGGACUGCUUCUAGUGUAUUACAGAUUAAUCCUUUUCUGGGGAAGGGCUGAGCAGGGCCCACCCUGAGCACACAAAAGACAUAAGCUCCUCGAGUGCUCAAACCUGUAGAGGGAAAACAAACAGGACCACAAGAGCUGAGGAGCCCGUGUGUAUUUUUGGGCUGCACAGCAAAGCGAAGACUCUCUGGGAUACAGAUUAAGAUCUCUCACUUGUUGUUUCAGCUGUCUCAAAGUGGUGAUGACAAAGUCUCUCAUAAACAGAUUGAAAGGUCAUUUGAUUUCACGGUUGCUUUAUUUGAGUACCUCUGUGUCCUCCACUGAAAUGUUAUUGUGUGCCUUCCUCAGAAACACUCCUCAGUGGUUUCCCAUUAUGACACAUUAGGGUACACAGAGCAUUAGGGAUCAUGGGGCAGCAGCUGUUCUCAAUUAUAGUGGCAUAAAUUUAAUAAUUCUACUGACUUCAGCAGAGGCAUUAAUGGUUUACAUGAACAAAAAUCAAAGCAGGAUUUGCUCUUUGCACUCUAGAUCAUACAUGGAGGUGUCUAUCUUCUGAAAAUGAAGAGUGCUAGAAAUAAUGAAAAUAUUUUUACCACAGUAAGAAGGAAUGCCAUUUCUAAGUCACCAGCAUAUUCUCUUCCUUUCAGUACACUCAGUGCUGAUGGAUGCUAAAGGUUAACUGAGCAUUUAUCAGCAGAAUGUUUCCCCAACAUUCAAAAAUUCUGAAUUUAAACUUUUGAAAAAGAUAGAAUGAUUGUGUCAUUCUGAUUGAAAUUUCUAUUUAUUUAUUUAUUUAUUCAUUCACUAUUAAUAUAAGGGUAAAAAACUUCAAAGCUCUAAGAUAUUUUUGUUUUCUCCAGCCUGAAGUGUUACUUGGCCUAGAAUUCACUUCAGCAUUUUGGUUUGUUUCUCAUCAAGUUCUAACACCAGCAGUCAGAAAUAUUAACAUUUUCUAUGAAAGAAACAGGGGCUUUUUUCUUUCCUUUAUAGAUAACAUGUUUAUCUAAAUACUGUUAACCUAAUGAUUUUUCUUAGAAGUCAGAAAUAUUUCUAUUACUGAUUAAAAAUAUAAUUAGACAGAUCAGUAUUUUCACAAAUUGCCCUUUUUAACACAAUAUUUUCCUCUUGUAUUGUUUACAUAUUGAUGGAGUGCAUGGGGAAAAGAAGCAAGUGCAGAUGGUGUAUUUAUCUGAGUGAGAGGAAACGCAGUAGGAGAGAAGAAACACCAGCAAUGUCUGUAAGUCUAACAGACUAGAAGAACCUGCCAGCAAAAAGAUGAAGAAGGACGAAGAAAGAACUCAAAGACCCUGGCUCAUAUUUCAUGACUUCCCACUGCAAAGUCUCCUUUUCCUCACUCACCAGAAGUAACACUUUAGCAAAGUUCUGCUCCUAAUUGAAGCCCAGGAGAUGCAUGAGUAGCCAUCAGUAGUACGACCAGCUGUGUAUCUCUUGGAGACAAUGAAGAUCUUGAGAUCCUUGUUGGAAGAGACACCACCAAGGCAUCCCCAGACACAGCAGGAGGGAUGAAAGCAUGGGGUAAAGGAUGAGAGAGCAGUGGGCCAGAGCUGGUAUUCACCUUACUGUGUGAUGCAGGGCAGCUGCAAUGAUCACUGAGGAAGACACAAACCAUGGAUUUCUGCUCUGCCUGCAGAGUAUCAUCUGGAGAGCUUCAGUGCUGCAAGCACCCAAGGAUGGUUUUGAGGACUGUAUCUGGAGGGCUCAAAUGCACUCCAGGGGAAAAGGGCAGAAAUGCUGCUCAGUCAACCUCCAAAGAGUCUUGUUCAGUCUCUAAAGAGCCUGAGGAACAAGACCUCUGAGCUGACAUUCAAUUUAAAACCAAUUCAGAAUAAAAAUUAGAUGCAUUAUGCAAUUUGUGUGAAUGGAAAAGAUUUGAAGGUAGAUGUCAGGCUGAAGACUUUCAUUUGGGCACAAAUAACAUCAAGAAUGGGAGGAAAUCAUGUCCCAAAAAAUUACAGCUUUGCAGUCACUAAACUAUUCUAAAUGCUGAUCACUGGGCUUUUUUUGAGAAGUAAAUUUUAAGGUAUUUUAUUAUUUUCCCUCCUCUAAACUUGACUGGGAAAUGUUGUUGUCUCUGAUUUUAGUUACAAUUGUGACUUCUGUAAGUUCUGGAAAAAGAGAACCAUUCUCUGCACUUUGCAGUUCAAAUAAAUACAGGGGAAAACAAAUUGUAUUUUGCUUGAUGAGGCUGAGCAUCUCCUUCCUUUUCAUUCAAACACAGAAUGAAGAAUAUACCAUGACAAAUCUUUUCUGAGUUAGUGGGAAUUUUGUUUUGUGCAAGCUAGGGAAGAUAUUUGGAUCAUUGGUUAUUAUAACUUGUUCCAUCUGUUUAUCUGUCUGUUUAAAUGCCCCUCUUCACCUGAGCACUUUAAGAUUUGAGGAUCUAUUCUGAGUCCUUGUGGCAGAUUAGUCAUAACAGAGAGUUUGUCUGUGCCACAGGUUUUCUUGCAGGUAGUUAUUUAUUACCUUUGCUGCUUGGGAUCUUGUAGUGCCCAAAUCCAAGGAUAAUCUGUUAUGUUUGUUCUAAAUUAAAAAAAAACUGGUGUAUGCAGGGACUGUGGAGACAGAUAAUUAUAGAAAGAGCACCAUCUAUUGUCAGGUAAAAAACACCAUGACUGCUGUUUAUAGGCAUAGAGCUCCAACAAUGUGGAAACAGCUGUGGGAUUUGUGCCUAUUCCAGAAGCUAAGCAAAAAGUACUUUGAAUGCUUUUGGCCCCAAGAGGAAAUGGUCUGGGUGACAUGAAUCUUCUUAUGUCAUAAAGUAUGAAACACUGUAAUUUACAUCAGGCUAGGAGGUUUUAUGCCUGUUUCCUUAUAGGGUCCUGGUAGAAGUGGGUCAUGAAUGGAAACUGAGUCACAGCUUGAUGAAUGGGGACAGUUGUGGUGUUUAGUGGGAUAUUUGGAUGACAUGGAAGCAAAAACAAGUCAUGAGAAGGCCUGGCUGGCUGCAGGCAGCGCUCAGCUCUAGGCCACGGUGCAGUUUGUGCCCACACAAAGAAGCUGUACAGUGUUUUGGCUGAGGUGUGGGCUCUGCAGCCCCCAUCCAGGAUGGGCAGAGCACUGCCAGGCCAGAGCUGGCCAUGCUCCCUCACCUGGUGCAGACUAGCUCAGACCUCCUUCUCUUACUCUGCCUGCCAGCAGGCACUGAUAAAGGCCCCAGACUGGUCUGAGCUUUUGAGAUUUGUAUCUGGAGGCAGUAAGAAGAGAAGGAGACAAUUCCUCAGUGACUAUUUGGAAAGACUGCUUCAUUCCAGGCAAUUCAAGUUAUCAUGCCAAGUACUUCAUAAAUCAUUUAUUUGUCUCUCUGCAUUUUCAGUAGACAACCUAAUUAUUGGUUUAAUGUCUUAAUAGAAGUGAAGGACUGUGACUCUCCUGACCAUCUUGUGUGGCCUUUUCUGCUGUAAACAGAAAGGAGAGAAAGUGCCAAAUGAAGACAAAAGUAAUUAAUGAUAUCUUCUUUGUCCUUCUUUCAUAAACUUUCCCAUGCCAGUGAACCUGCCUUUGGGUUUUCCACACAGAGAGACAAAAGAUACAAAUAUAAGUUUUCAGGGACAUCUCAAACCAUCAGAAAAGCCAUUUCAUCAACUGCUAAUGUCAGCUAAUGGCUUGGUAACUCAGCAUGUACAGUGGCUCCCUCAGAAGCAGACUUAUCAACAAGCAGAAAAUAGACCAUCAGAGAGGUUUUAGGAGGGCAGUAUCUUUGUCCUCCAAGCAGAUGCAUUUAUAAAAGAACAUGCCUCUACCAGGAGGCUUGUGUAUGAGGACUGGAGUGAGGAAUAAAGCAAAAUACAGAAAUUAAUCCAAGCCAUUAGAAGGAAGUCUGAUGGUUGUAGCAGAGGUGAGGGAAAGCAGGUCCUGUGUGAGCCAAGCAGCCACCAAAUUUUCUGCAGGUAGACAAGCACCAGAUGGGUAUGAGCAAGGAACAGAUGAGGGAUGUGGCAAUGAGAUAAUGCAGGCAGCUGUCCGCAGAACUCACCAGCUUGCUUGUGUGGUUCUCUGAUGAGUGAAAGUCUCUCUGAUCCCUGCAGUGACUGAUUGUGAAGGGCAUUGUGCUUGGUAACUGAUGCAGAGAAAAGGGGGAAAGCAUGUUGAAGCAGGCACAGGGGAGCUGACCAUUUUGUCUUGAUUCUGAAAACUACAAUUCCCUGGGAUCUGAGCUAGGAGUGACAACUUCACAAAAAACAACACCAGGGACUGGCGCUUUUCUUGGCUGCCUGGCUAGUUUUGUCUGGCCACGCUGCAGGUUCUUGAUGACCUCUCCUCUCACUGCUGCUAGAGUCUCCCUGCCAGCAAACAAUGGGGUCUGACAGGCACAGCACGUGACGGACAGCACAGUCUCUGGGGAUGAGCAUUUCUCAACCCUGGGGAUGGACAGAGACCUGUCAGAAAACACUGCAAAGCCCCUCCAGCUUGGUUCAGGCUGGGGAAGAAGAAGUGGGCAGGGGUGAUGUACUUUUGUCCUAGGGUGAUGCUUGUAUCCCCAGUCGUGUGUUCUGUUUAUGCUGAAUAUGUUCUGUGCCUUCAAGAUGGGCUCUGAAGAGCGAAUGUUUUGUUUUGUUUUGUUAUCAGCCUGUUCACUCUCCCAACAGUCGUCAGGACACACAGACAGAGCAGUACAUGGUGCUGCUUUUGUUUUUUGUACUUGCUUUUCCUUUGCUCUUGCUUUUGCUCCUGCUUGUUAGUUACCUUAGCUAAGCAGUCCAAAUUUUCCCUGAACUGUUUUUUCUUUCCCUUUCUUGGAACCACUCAAGCCUGCUCUGGAGUGGGACCUGGGAACACCGAGAGUUUGCACCUUGUGGCCUGCAGCAGCUGCCCCAGCACUGGAGGCAUUGAUAACAGAGUGACCAUCCCCAAGAGGGACUUUCUGAAUUUGUCAUCUUUUUCAUAGCAGUGAAAGAGUGGUGUCAUCUGGUAUUGUUCAUUUUGUAU